rnacentral:rRNA from 1 species
UGAGCAAUCUGCCCUUCACAUCGGAAUAACCAUUGGAAACGAUGGCUAAUACCGAAUAUGACUUCGGAUCGCAUGAUCGGAGGUGGAAAGCUCCGGCGGAGAAGGAUGAGCUCGCGGCCUAUCAGCUAGUUGGUGUGGGUAAUGGCCCACAAGGCGACGACGGGUAGCCGGCCUGAGGAGGGUGACCGGCCACACUGGGACUGAGACACGGCCCAGACCUCUACGGGAG